rnacentral:rRNA from 1 species
UCCUACGGGAGGCAGCAGUGAGGAAUAUUGGUCAAUGGAGGAAACUCUGAACCAGCCAUGCCGCGUGAAGGAUGACGGCCCUAUGGGUUGUAAACUUCUUUUGAAUAGGAAGAAACUUAUCUACGUGUAGAUAACUGACGGUACUAUUAGAAUAAGGAUCGGCUAACUCCGUGCCAGCAGCCGCGGUAAUACGGAGGAUCCAAGCGUUAUCCGGAUUCAUUGGGUUUAAAGGGUCCGUAGGCGGGUCUUUAAGUCAGUGGUGAAAGCCGACAGCUCAACUGUCGAACUGCCAUUGAUACUGGAGACCUUGAGUACAAAUGAAGUAGGCGGAAUGAGUCAUGUAGCGGUGAAAUGCAUAGAUAUGACUCAGAACACCGAUUGCGAAGGCAGCUUACUAACAUGUAACUGACGCUGAGGGACGAAAGCGUGGGGAGCGAACAGGAUUAGAUACCCUGGUAGUCCACGCCGUAAACGAUCAUCACUCGCUGUUGGCGAUAUACUGUCAGCGGCCAAGCGAAAGUAUUAAGUGAUGCACCUGGGGAGUACGCCGGCAACGGUGAAACUCAAAUGAAUUGACGGA